UGUUGUGUAAUUGCCCAGUAGUUCUAGGGGGUUUCCUCUGUCUGGUGUGAUCUACUGGUAAAGAGCAGAGAGACCCGAAUGGUGACGUGCAUGGCCUGGUAGAAGACUGGAGAGCCCCGAAUGGAGACAUGACACAAGGGUCACGCUUGACCGGAUACAGCCUCUUCUUGACCUGGAUGAUCACGAUACAAAACCUAUCGACAACUAGACAAGAUAAAUCCCUGUAGGAUACCAAACCAUAAGGUAAAUAUCUACACAUAUUUACACCUGUUACAUACAUAACCCUAGGGGUAUACGUAGAGCCCAGCUAGACAGGCCAAGUAACACUUUACU
rnacentral:lncRNA from 1 species